rnacentral:misc_RNA from 1 species
GAAAUGCGAUACGUAAUGUGAAUUGCAGAAUUCAGUGAAUCAUCGAAUCUUUGAACGCAUAUUGCGCUCUUUGGUAUUCCGAAGAGCAUGCUUGUUUGAGUAUCAGUAAACACCUCAAAAUCUUUUUUUUAUUAAGAAGACUUUGGACUUGAGCAAUCCCAACACCAGUCUUUUAAGAUUGGGGGCGGGUUGCUUGAAAUGCAGGUGCAGCUGGACAUUCUCCUGAGCUAAAAGCAUAUUCAUUUAGUCCCGUCAAACGGAUUAUUACUUUUGCUGCAGCUAACAUAAAGGGAGUUUGACCAUUAUGGCUGACUGAUGCAGGAUUUCACAAGGGGAUCACACCUCUUGUUAAACUCGAUCUCAAAUCAAGUAAGACUACCCGCUGAACUUAA